rnacentral:rRNA from 1 species
ACGGAAGGCAGCAGUGAGGAAUAUUGGUCAAUGGGCGGAAGCCUGAACCAGCCAAGUCGCGUGAAGGAUGAAGGUAUUAUGUAUUGUAAACUUCUUUAGACGCAGAGAAAUAAGAGGCUCGUGAGCCUUGAUGCUAGUAUGCGUAGAAUAAGGAUCGGCUAACUCCGUGCCAGCAGCCGCGGUAAUACGGAGGAUCCGAGCGUUAUCCGGAUUUAUUGGGUUUAAAGGGUGCGCAGGCGGCCCUGUAAGUCAGCGGUUAAAUCGUGGAGCUCAACUCCAUCCCGCCGUUGAUACUGCAGGGCUUGAUUGCGGUCGAGGUUGGCGGAAUUCGCCGUGUAGCGGUGAAAUGCAUAGAUAUCGCGAAGAACUCCGAUUGCGUAGGCAGCUUACCAGGCCGGCAAUGACGCUCAUGCACGAAAGUGCGGGGAUCGAACAGGAUUAGAUACCCUGGUA